rnacentral:rRNA from 1 species
GACGGGGGGAUGCAAGUGUUAUCCGGAAUAAUUGGGCGUAAAGCGUCUGUAGGUGGUUUACCAAGUCUGUUGUUAAAAAAUCAGGGCUUAACCCUGAUCCGGCAACAGAAACUAGUAGGCUGGAGUACGGUAGGGGCAGAGGGAAUUCUCGGUGUAGUGGUGAAAUACGUAGAUAUCGAGAAGAACACCAGUAGCGAAAGCACUCUGCUGGGCCGAAACUGACAUUGAGAGACGAAAGCUAGGGGAGCGAAUGGG